UGAUUAUAUGAUAGGUGGUGCAUGGCCGUUCUUAGUUCGUGGAGUGAUCUGUCUGCUUAAUUGCGUUUCAAAUUUUUAUUUGAGGACCAGGUUUUGGUUUGGGUAGGGGUCCUACGAUGACUGUGAACUGUCAUGUCUUCGGAUGUGCGACUAUCGGUCUAGGAUCGCAUCUCAGCCCCUGGGACUCUUUUGAACGCAACGGACGUGAUUGCAACCCCUUGUUGAGAUUAGAGGAGUCUCGAUAUUCAUUGGCCAAACUUACCGCUU
rnacentral:rRNA from 1 species